rnacentral:rRNA from 1 species
GACGAACGCUGGCGGCGUGCCUAAUACAUGCAAGUAGAACGCACAGUUUAUACCGUAGCUUGCUACACCAUAGACUGUGAGUUGCGAACGGGUGAGUAACGCGUAGGUAACCUGCCUGGUAGCGGGGGAUAACUAUUGGAAACGAUAGCUAAUACCGCAUAAUAUUAAUUAUUGCAUGAUAAUUGAUUGAAAGGUGCAAAUGCAUCACUACCAGAUGGACCUGCGUUGUAUUAGCUAGUAGGUGAGGUAACGGCUCACCUAGGCGACGAUACAUAGCCGACCUGAGAGGGUGAUCGGCCACACUGGGACUGAGACACGGCCCAGACUCCUACGGGAGGCAGCAGUAGGGAAUUUUCGGCAAUGGACGAAAGUCUGACCGAGCAACGCCGCGUGAGUGAAGAAGGUUUUCGGAUCGUAAAGCUCUGUUGUAAGAGAAGAACGGGUGUGA